rnacentral:rRNA from 1 species
AGCUCUCGCUAUUAGAUGAGCCUAAGUCGGAUUAGCUGGUUGGUGGGGUAAAGGCCUACCAAGGCGACGAUCUGUAGCUGGUCUGAGAGGAUGAUCAGCCACACUGGGACUGAGACACGGCCCAGACUCCUACGGGAGGCAGCAGUGGGGAAUAUUGGACAAUGGGCGAAAGCCUGAUCCAGCCAUGCCGCGUGUGUGAAGAAGGCCUUUGGUUGUAAAGCACUUUAAGUGGGGAGGAAAAGCUUAUGGUUAAUACCCAUAAGCCCUGACGUUACCCACAGAAUAAGCACCGGCUAACUCUGUGCCAGCAGCCGCGGUAAUACAGAGGGUGCAAGCGUUAAUCGGAAUUACUGGGCGUAAAGCGCGCGUAGGUGGUUAUUUAAGUCAGAUGUGAAAGCCCCGGGCUUAACCUGGGAACUGCAUCUGAUACUGGAUAACUAGAGUAGGUGAGAGGGGAGUAGAAUUCCAGGUGUAGCGGUGAAAUGCGUAGAGAUCUGGAGGAAUACCGAUGGCGA